rnacentral:rRNA from 1 species
AACGAACGCUGGCGGCAGGCUUAACACAUGCAAGUCGAGCGCCCCGCAAGGGGAGCGGCAGACGGGUGAGUAACGCGUGGGAAUCUACCGUGCCCUACGGAAUAGCUCCGGGAAACUGGAAUUAAUACCGUAUACGCCCUACGGGGGAAAGAUUUAUCGGGGUAUGAUGAGCCCGCGUUGGAUUAGCUAGUUGGUGGGGUAAAGGCCUACCAAGGCGACGAUCCAUAGCUGGUCUGAGAGGAUGAUCAGCCACAUUGGGACUGAGACACGGCCCAAACUCCUACGGGAGGCAGCAGUGGGGAAUAUUGGACAAUGGGCGCAAGCCUGAUCCAGCCAUGCCGCGUGAGUGAUGAAGGUCUUAGGAUUGUAAAGCUCUUUCACCGGUGAAGAUAAUGACGGUAACCGGAGAAGAAGCCCCGGCUAACUUCGUGCUAGCAGCAGCCGCCGUAA